AGUUCCAUGGUGGAAUGGUUAGUACUUUGGACUCUGAGUCCAGGGAUCUGAGUUCAAAUCUCGGUGGAACCU
rnacentral:tRNA from 1 species